CCAAGUUCCUGGGAAGAAGAGCACAAUGAAAACUGAACGCUCCCUCAUCUUCCUGACAGAGCAAGUGGAACAUUUCUGCAAAAAUUGUAUCACCUCCCUGAGUGAUUCCUUUGAGGAUCAAAGUGGCGUGUACAUGUCCCCUCUGUUCUCACAAGCAUUUGCUGAAUCGCGGGAUACGAUUUCUGGAACACUUAGAAAUCAUCAGGUGCCUAAACUUGGUCAGCACCUCUCUGAGAUGAAAGGCAGCUAAACUGUGAUAAACCCUCUCCUACGUGCCUCAAUGUUACAUCCACAUCCCUUGAAAAACGUCCCUGAAGACUGAAGAGAAGUGACUUGCCCAGGGGAGGCCGAGGGGCCCGGAGCCUGCCCUCUGACAGCACUCCAAGCCAAGGUCCCACCCCCCUGGGGCUGCUGGGUAAAUGCUCCUCUGUCCCUAGCCCAAAUUCAAAGAGACAGGUUUCUCCUGGAGAACAGAGCCCUGAGUUCUCCACCUUUGCCAGGUCUGUGCCCUUUUCCCACUGUGCCGAAGAAGUGUCCUGGCAGGCCGUUCUGAGUAUAGAGGAAGGAGUUCCUAGGGCCGGGCCGACAAGUCAGGCCGACCUGGGGCUGCGUCCUCCCAUCACUAUGAGCUGGGCCACCCAGGCCCAGGUCUCUUGGCCUCGGUUUCAUUAUCCAUUAGACAGGCCUAAUAAUUGAAGCCUUGUCACGGGGUUCUGUGAGGACUGAGAUGGUGCACAUGGUGUAUUUAACCCUGACCCUGGCACGUAGGAAAUACACAAACAAUAGAAAGCUACUGCGUCUGCUUUGUGGCCCCACGUAAAGUGAGAGAGGUCAGUCACAAGGCCCCUGAGCCAGUCAGCCCUGCCCUGCACGCCCAGUUGGACUCCUGAGGGGGAGGCCCUCAUCCCUCUGGGCUGGGGGAGGAAAGGAGUGGGGGGUGAGAGGCUCUUUCCCUCCCCUCACGCUUCUGGCCACAAUUCCUCUCUUGGUUCCGUCUUAUCAAAAUAGUUGGUGUCCCGAUGAUCUCUGCCCACAGGAAAUCUCUGACUAAACUUGUUCUCAGUUCUGGCUCCUCAACCGCUCACUCCAGUUCCUGAAUUUGGUUUAACAACCACACGGCAUAGCGGACCCUGGGAGCUCCAGGCAUCACAAUUGUAUCUAGUGCCUUCCUCGGCAUGCCGAGCCCUGCCCUGCUAGACACUGGUGACUGCAGAAAUGACUAAGGCCCACUCCAAGGGAAAUAGGAAAACCAGGCUCUGUCUGUGUCCUUGGAGCGAUACUACACAGGCUCUACGGGCCCCUGUUGAUGCUUCUAGAGCUCCAUUCACAUAGGAAGUGCUCAAUAAAUGCUAACUAUUUCUCAAUUUCAGUUAAUUACAUCUUUCAGUUCUAAGAUUUCCAUUUGCUUCCUUUUUUUUUUUGUAUAGUUUCUACUUCUCUGCCAAAAGUUUCCAUCUUGUCUUUUAAAUCCUUGAACACAGUAUUCAUGGUUCUUGUAAAG